rnacentral:rRNA from 1 species
AUUGAACGCUGGCGGCAGGCCUAACACAUGCAAGUCGAACGAGUGGCGGACGGGUGAGCAAUGUCUGGGACACUGCCUGAGGGAGGAGGUUAACUACUGGACACGGUAGCUAAAAACGCAUAGAAUAGGCUGUGCCCCGUUGGGUGUAGCUAGUAGGUGGGGUAAAGGCUGACCUAGGCGACGAUCCCUUGCUGGUCUGAGAGGAUGACCAGCCACACUGGAACUGAGACACGGUCCAGACUCCUACGGGAGGCAGCAGUGGGGAAUAUUGCACAAUGGGCGAAAGCCUGAUGCAGCCAUGUCGCGUGUAUGAAGAAGGCCUUCGGGUUGUAAAGUACUUUCAGUGGGGAGGCGUUACCCACAGAAGAAGCACCGGCUAACUCCGUGCCAGCAGCCGCGGUAAUAC